CGCGCCGGAGCGGAGACAAAGGCCUGUUUCUCGGAGUGCGUCGGUCGGUCCGAGUUUAGGAAGUCUGUAUCAUCAAGAAAAAACUGCAGGUGGCUGGAAGAUGCCGAUCAGCUGCCAGUCUGGAUAGUAGCCAUCAACUCAGCAAAGGCCUGCAGUCGAAUCAGCCCCACCUGUUUCUCUGCUGCCAUUCAAGACAGGAUGCUUUGUGAAAGUGGGAGCUCAUGGAGGUGGCACGGUGCAUGGAAGAACAGAGUGGCUGACAGUGAGCUGCCCAAGCAAGCUGCUGGCUCUUGUGACUGUCUCUGAAAGCCUCUGGAUGUGCUAAAUUGCAGACGUGCCUGGACAUUUAUAAAUGGUGCUGCUAUCCAGCUCUACGUCACAGCCAUGAAGUGGCCAUGGGGUGAACCAUGGACAACUGCUGUCAUAAGUACUCGAAUCGGCAGAGCCACCUACUAGCUGUGAAGCCCAGUUGCCAGGCAGCAGAUACUCGACCAGCAACCAGCCUUUGUCACUCUAGUGGGACACGAGAGCGACAAACAGAAACAAACGACAGCUACAAGCCUCCAACCCAUUCAGCAUGCCCGUGAUGGUACCUUUGGCAGGCGUUUAUUCGU
rnacentral:lncRNA from 1 species